rnacentral:rRNA from 1 species
GACGAACGCUGGCGGCGUGCUUAACACAUGCAAGUCGAACGGAAAGGCCCUGCUUUUGUGGGGUGCUCGAGUGGCGAACGGGUGAGUAACACGUGAGUAACCUGCCCUUGACUUUGGGAUAACUUCAGGAAACUGGGGCUAAUACCGGAUAGGAGCUCCUGCUGCAUGGUGGGGGUUGGAAAGUUUCGGCGGUUGGGGAUGGACUCGCGGCUUAUCAGCUUGUUGGUGGGGUAGUGGCUUACCAAGGCUUUGACGGGUAGCCGGCCUGAGAGGGUGACCGGCCACAUUGGGACUGAGAUACGGCCCAGACUCCUACGGGAGGCAGCAGUGGGGAAUAUUGCACAAUGGGCGGAAGCCUGAUGCAGCAACGCCGCGUGCGGGAUGACGGCCUUCGGGUUGUAAACCGCUUUCGCCUGGGACGAAGCGUGAGUGACGGUAAUGGGUAAAGAAGCAGCGGCUAACUACG